CCUCUUUCAACCAUUGAUGUUCUGGUGGACAACACCACUGUUCUUGCAAUUGCAAAGAUUUGAUCGUGAAAUAUAUUGUUACAUAAGAGAUAAAAAGAAAUAACUUUUAUGAAAAUGAAGUAAAUAAUUUAUCAAAACUCAAAAAGUAUCAAAGCUUACAUAUCAUAAAUCACCCAUCCCACAAGUAUUAUCAAACAUCUGGAAUAAUGUGCACACUUUAUUUAUUACAUGAAACCAGUUGACAAAUGUUCCAAGGAACAAAACUUCUUCCACAGAAAAACCAAAAUAAUACACAUCAUUGUGGUAGACUAAGUUUCAAGUGCAUGUUUAGCACACAAUACUAGACAUGACGAAUGGGAUUUCAAGUAUUCACACAAAAACAGGGUGAUUAGUUUUUGUUACAGCUGUUACAAACUAAUAAAUGUCUGAUUCCUACAUUGUAAGGUCACCAUUAAUUGCCUAUGAAUAGAAGGUCAGAUGCAAUAAAUUCUGCUUAAAGUUGUUACACCCUCACGUUAGCACAGACUCAUCAUAUAAUAGUCUGUACCGUGUCAGGAAACUCUUGCCAUUAAGAUCCCUGAUUUAAUGCUUGCUUCUACCCCUCUUAAUUUUUGCUUUAACACGAGACUUUGUCAUUAGUGUCUGUACCGUGUUGGCAAAAUUUCCAACAGCCAUGAUAAUCAGAAGAAUCCCACAAGUAAUCACCUGAAAUUGG
rnacentral:lncRNA from 1 species